rnacentral:lncRNA from 13 species
UGGGAAGGAAGAGCCGGGUCAAUAAUUGGGCCCAGGUCUUGCACUCACACUGCAAUCAGACUGACUCUACUUUCGUCUGUUUUAGUCAUUUGAGCUUCUAAGAUGCUCAGUCAUUUGAGCUGCUAAAAAUGUUUGAGAAACUACAAUGGACAAGACUUUCUGUAAAGGAGUUUCCAUGUUUAAUGCCCUCUGCCUUUAUUCUUCUUGCCAUCUUGCCUAUCCACAGCAAGCCUCAGUUCUAGGCAUAGCCUGCCAUUCCUGAUCUUGGAAGGACAUUUGAGCACGGGGUGAGAGAUGGACAUCCCUUGAAAGGGGACUACAGUUCGGGUCUUUGCACGUGGUGGAGGUUGCUAAAGUGGAAGCCAAAAUCCCUUUCCUCUUCAGAAGGUGCUUCCUUCCCCUCUGCCUUUUGCCGUGAUUGUAAGUUUCCUGAGGCCUCCCAGCCAUGCUUCCUGUACAGCCUGCAGAACUCCCACAUCUGCAGGGCCUCCGUGCUGCAGGCAAACAUAGGCUCCUGAAGAAGAUCAC